ACACCCCCAGCCCCUCCGUCGCGCUGUUCGGCCUCGGGCACCCGGCGGCUGCUGGGGAGGGAAACCGCCCUCACCCGCGCAGGGCCGAGCCGAGGGAGCGGGGCCAGCCCCGCCAGCCCGCCCGCAGCGCCCGGGGACGGGGGCGGGCGGGGGGCGCGGGCCUGCCAGCGGCAGCAAGGCCCGGCCUACGGCCGCGGCCCGCAAGGCCGAGGUGAGCGGGCGGCGGCCCCGCUGCCCGCCGCGGCCCUCGCUGAGGGGCAGGAGCCGGAGGUCGCAGGAAGGAACCCGGCGCUCCGCUCCCCGGCCCCGCACCGCGCUGCGGGCCGCUGUCGGCCGGCCGGCCGCGUCGGCGGGAGAUGGUUUUACUGCAGAGGUGCUCAUCGGCACUUCUUGAAGAUUGAUGGUCUGGUGUCAAAGAUGCAAAGCUGAAGGGUAUCAGCUCUGCUGUCCAGUUGGGUAGACCUUUUCACUACCUCACAGGCAAUGUAAUGUGUACCCUAAAGCUGUGAAGUGCUCAAGUUCUGUAACAGUAGAGUAGAGUUGCUGCAUAAACAAAUAUGCAUGAUCCAAAGAGACAUAAUUCCACGUCACAUUUCUCUAUGGUCCCUGUGGUGCUGUCGGCAGAGCUGAAAGAGAAACUGGCACAGGCUGAAAGGACGAUGGGCAGAGCGAGCGCUCGCUAGCAGGGCGACACAUGAUUUCUUCUGCACCGAGUGGGUUCUGACACCUUUGGUCCGCAGCCGCCCCACGUGGCUGCGAAAGACAAGCUACCAAAUGCUGUGCUCGCACACAUUUAGUAAUUAAUAGUAAAGCGAUGACUCAGAACAUUGAGGCAAAUUAAGCAGCACGUUAUCAAGAGAGUACUGCGGCAGCGGCUCAGCAGCCUACAUCAGAGAGCCUGCAGCACAAAGCAUAAGGAGACCUGAAGAGACGUCUGAAGUUACGGAGAAGGGGGCGAAGCAAGUCUUCUGCCCCAUUUCUGUGCGAAAGGAUGGCUGGUGCGAGAGGGCCCGGCGGUCCUGCCGGCCGGCGUGCCCGGGAGGUCUCAGCUGGAGGCAGCAGCUCCGUCCAGGCACUGCUGCCCGGGUGGCACAGCUGGCCAGCAACUGUAACUAACUGGCAGCUAACCAGCUGCAGCUUGGGGAAGAAGAUGCUCCAUAGAUACUAAGAAGUCAUCUUGUGGGAGGACUGCAGAGCUUUGCUUCUUUCCAGCAGUCGUAUUUGUGACCUGGUGUGAUGAAAUUUUCUGUAUUUAGCCGUUCCGUGGUAAAGAUGGCAAAAACUUCACUUUUAUCUGUCAGGGACAUUAUGUGUUGAUCUAUGCAGGGAAGAAAAACUAACUAUCCCUUGGGAAUUACCUGUGAUGGUAGCGUGUCGUCAUUUUCUUUAGCUCUUCCUCCCUACAGACAACAAAAAGGGAUGCCCCAUUUGUAAGGAACAUUUUGCGUUGAUACAAGUUAUCUGGGAGAAAAAGAAACAUCCCUUGGAAAUCACAUACCACAAUCAGUUUGGAAUUGAUUUAGUUGCUUUACAUUUCUUUUUUGCAGGAUAAUUUUGAUACAAAAUAUGGAACACGAUACCUGUAAAUCACUUCUGAAGGAGCCCUGUGGCCUCAGAGCUGAUAGUCUUUCCUGACCAUGUGCUAUGCCUUUCAGAGCAAUUGCAUUCAGCCUGUGUAUCGGCUUCCACUGCAGGUCCUAUAAGUGGUAAAAUCAUCUAAUUCACCAUUAAUUGAUUGCUACAUAUCAAUACGGAAAAUGGUGCAUUGCAGCAUUUGCAUCCUUUGUGCAAAAAAAUAAAGCAACAUUUUUAAUGAGAAAGGAAAAAGAAAGUAUGACAAUAAAUUGAAGAGGUUGUUCAUUUAAAUAGUUUCUAAAUGAAACAUUUGCAUUUUGCGACUAAAUCUACAUCCUGAUGUCUGAUAUCUGGAGCAAAUCUUGACGUAUCUUGGGUAUCUUCUUGAGUAUCUGCUUGGGCGAUAGGUCCAGUACUAAGGGUAAAUCUGCCAUCUUGCACAUGUUUGGCUCUCAGUACUCUCUUCUCAACACGUGAUUGCAUCUUAAAUUCUGCGCUCAAUGUUUCGUGUUUCUGGAAUGAGUGAAACCUGGGAAGGGGACAGAAGAGAGGUAAACCAGAUAUGCUAUUUCUUGGCUUUCAGGUCCCAUAUGAGCAAUUAAUUACAAAGCAGCCUUAGUAAAGAAUGCCAAUAUCCACAUAUAGUCCCCCUUACAAAAAUAAACUUUCUCCAGAAUAUACAUACACUUCAGAAACAUAAAAUUCAGAAAUAAUUUCAACAUAUUGAAAUACUAAUUUUAAAUGCAUUGCCCUAGAAUAGUACAACAAAGGUGAGGAAUGGGAAAGGGUAGAGAAGAGCUAUAGGAUAAAACAAGGCUUGAAGCUGGGAAAAAGGUGUAUGACAGAGACCGACAGCUCUACUGAAGACUUUCUUGUUUUCCUGUUGGUUUGGAAGAUGCUCUCUCCCAUGGAAUAGUUGCCUUGGUCACAGCAAGUGAGACUUCUGCCCAAGCUCAGCACUUUCAUAACCUAUGCAAAAUAGCUAAAUCCCAGUCUCAGAGGGGACUAGAAAUUUUUAAGCAGAGCUAGGUUUAGCAUCUUCAAGUCUUCAGAUCAUUUCCUUUUCAUCUCAGACAACGUUUUGGUCACACCAUUGUGUGUAAAACAUUACUUAAGGUUUAGGGUGGGACUGGUAACCUGAUGUUUGUAAAUUAAUCUCAACUGAUUUAUUUUAAAUUUUGAAAGAUGCUUGUGAGAAGGAGAAAGAAGAUCUUUAGAUCAUCCUUGCUUCCUCUGACUGAUGCCCAACUGCUACCAUUUUUGAUAACUGGUGGUCAGUUUAUUUAUGGUUUCAAGGUUGCCUAUGGAAAAAAAAAAAUAGAGGCAGAAACUUGAUUAUAAAAUGACACACCUCCAAAAUUGGUGGUGUUUAGGAUGCCUGUCACUGAAAAGGUAGCACUUGAAAUAAAUUGCAAGUGAAAUUCAUAUCAGGAUAAACUUCAGAAUUUUCCCAGAUAUCCCGAAAAGUCUGGAAAAAGAGAUGGGUGCCUGGGGCCCUGCUUAGGCAUCUGUUUGCCAUAUGUUUUUGCUAAGGAAAUGAAAUAAAAUGUUAGAAAAUCUGCAAGAGGUAAAAUGUAGGAGGCACAAAACUAAAAAUAGCAAAGCUUACAUGGAGACUGGGCAUCUGGGUCUUCAUGGGCUCAAAAUGGAGUAUAGUUAAUGCAAUUUUUACCAAGUGCUUCUGAAGCACAGCGGUACUGGUCCUCACAGAAGCCGUAUCUGAUCCAUGGAUCUCCACCAGUCCCAGAAAAUGGAGAAAGACUAGAUUGAUUGCCCACAGACAGGUAGAGGAUAAGCUAGAAACAUCAGCAAAUUAAAAGUUACACGUCUGAGGUGCAGGUGUCAGGUGCGAAGGGAAACGUGUCGCGACACCGGGCACAGACUAUUGUGAGAUAACCCUAGGAAACAAAAAUGUCAAUGUGUACUAAGUGAUACAGACCACUGGCAGGGAAAUGAAGAGAAAAGCUGGAUGCUCAACUAGAUGGGGAACAACUGGAAAGACAAAAUAGCACAAGGAAAAAGUUGCUGGAGAGGCUUGUGUGGAAAUUAUGGGAACAAAAGCAAAGACAACUUAGAGCAACAAGUUGGGAACAUUGCAGAAAUCAGAAUGUAAAUAUGUAUGGUAAGCUGCAUAACUGACAUAAAAGCUGUACACAAAGCCUAUUAAACCCAUUAAAAGCUAAUAUACAUAUGUCCUUCAGAAAAUGAACAACCCAUGUUAUUUUAUUAUUGCUCUGGCUACUGAUGUUAUUUCUCAGCUCUAGACUUUGAGCUGGUGAAACAGGAAUAGCUCUGUCAAAACUAAUGGAGACAGCAGUUUGCUCCAGAAGGAGAACUGGGUCUUGCCUGUCUGCGUGGAACCUUUGUCAAGAUGGUGUGUGAAGAGAUACCUCUACUGGUGCCUGGAAGUUGAGUAACUCUUUGGGUCAGCAAUGAAAUAUUAGCAUGAGUGUUGCUUGGACUGGAUGAAUCAUUCAUUGUAAGUGGAUUACAGGAUAAUUUUAGCUUUUUUGUUGUUGUUCACAGAAAUCAUUCAUGAACUGAUCCUGAUUCUUCAUGAUAGACUGAUUUUCAAAGUCCUCACCAGAAUAUUGAGAAGGAAAAUAUUGUCUGUGCUCGUGAGUUGUUAACUUUCACUGUUUGCUCCUUGUGACAUAUAACUGGUCACUUCAAUUGCAUUGCGGUUUUUCUGCUCCAUGAUUAAUUAUUGGAGUUUGGAUACUGAAUUAGAGCAUGAUUACUAAUGAUUAGUGAACACAACAUAGUCUUAAUUUUGCAUGAAUAGUCAUGUUUGUAUCUGAGAAUUCAACUGAAAACAGAUAUUCCCAACAUGUUUAUGCCAAUAAAAAAUCAGAGAUAAGGAAUAAAAAGGAGCAAGAAGUUGGCAAGGAAAGAUACGUUCAGAAUUUGAAUACAAUUGAAUAAACUUUAUUUUUGCAACAUUUAUCAUGUUCUAAAUUUUGUCAUGUCGUCAACACAUUUAGGAGCUCAGAAGUGCUCUUCUUAGAUUGGACUUCUAUUUGCAGGUUGACCUACAAAUUUGUCAGGAGAAUAUAGUUAGAGCCAGAAAAAAACCUGUCAGGCAACUCAGGCUGCCCUUGUGCAUAAAGAUCAUGAAGGCUCAUCCCUAAACUGAACCCUACAACUUCAGACACACUGGAGCAUUCAGACAGCCAGGACAAAGUCAUUAGGUUCCACCAAGACUUGCAUCCCCUGCCAUUGCUGGGAAAAAAUAGUUUCAACUUAAUUUAUGAUGAUCUAUAUGUAUGUCUCUGAUUCCUUGCUCUGAAGUGAGUUUUCAGUAUUGUGAGAUUGUAUUUCUUACGCCUUAAUACAUGUCCUCACAUCUCUGUACAAUUUUUUAAUAUGCUCUUUUAAUCAGGCAAUUCAUAUCACUUCCUACAAAUUGCCUGUUCUUUUUGCUUACCACCCCACUUGUUUUGGUAUCCCGUGCAAAUUUAAUCAGUGGAAACUAGCAGUGACAAAAUCAUUCACUAACAGACUGAUAGGAACCAAUUCCCAAGUUAUAUCCUUUUAGUUCCAUAUAAUGUGGUGUUCAAAAUCCAUGGUCAAAUGAUUUGAAGACACGGGCCUAUGAAUAUUCUGUAUGAACACGGUUAUCUUUGUGAAGUAGAGCAAUAGCUGUGAACAAAAAGAAAAUUGAAGAAGAUAAAAUAAAUAAGGUUUG